UACGUAGGGUGCAAGCGUUGUCCGGAAUUAUUGGGCGUAAAGAGCUCGUAGGCGGCCUGACGCGUCCGCUGUGAAAUCCCGGGGCUUAACCCCGGGCGUGCAGUGGAUACGGGCUGGCUGGAGGCAGGCAGGGGAGAACGGAAUUCCCGGUGUAGCGGUGAAAUGCGCAGAUAUCGGGAGGAACACCGGUGGCGAAGGCGGUUCUCUGGGCCUGUACUGACGCUGAGGAGCGAAAGCGUGGGGAGCGAACAGG
rnacentral:rRNA from 1 species